GACGAACGCUGGCGGCGUGCUUAACACAUGCAAGUCGAACGGAAAGGCCCUGCUUUUGUGGGGUGCUCGAGUGGCGAACGGGUGAGUAACACGUGAGUAACCUGCCCUUGACUUUGGGAUAACUUCAGGAAACUGGGGCUAAUACCGGAUAGGAGCUCCUGCUGCAUGGUGGGGGUUGGAAAUUUUCGCCUGUUGGGGUUGGACUCGCGGCUUAUCAGCUUGUUGGUGGGGUAGUGGCUUACCAAGGCUUUGACGGGUAGCCGGCCUGAGAGGGUGACCGGCCACAUUGGGACUGAGAUACGGCGCAGACUCCUACGGGAGGCAGCAGUGGGGAAUAUUGCACAAUGGGCGGAAGCCUGAUGCAGCAACGCCGCGUGCGGGAUGACGGCCUUCGGGUUGUAAACCGCUUUAGCCUGUGACGAGGCGUGAGUGACGGUAAUGGGUAAAGAAGCACCGGCUAACUACGUG
rnacentral:rRNA from 1 species